rnacentral:rRNA from 1 species
AGUCUAUUCAGAGGAACCUGUCCUAUAAUUGAUGGUCCACGAUUUUAUUUACUUACUUUUUUAAUUUGCAUAUCUCCGUAGAUUGAAUAUUUCUGUAGAAAAUUAUAAAUGUUCAUAAUUUUAGUAAAAAAGGAAUUCAGGUCAAGGUGUAGUUUAUAGGUAAGAAGAGAUGGGUUACAAUAAAUUUAUUUAUACAGUUAGUUUUUUGUAAAGAAAUUAUAAGGCGGAUUUGAAGGUAAUUUUAAAUAUUUAUUUAUAAUGAUUUUAGCUCUAAAAUAUGUACAUAUCGCCCGUCACUUUCACUCCAAAGUGAAAUAAGUCGUAACAAAGUAGGUGUACCGGAAGGUGCCCCUAGAAAAU